UCUGAGGUGGCUACCGUGGUCGAGAGCAUUCUCAAGAAGCUGAUGACCGAUGAUUUGCAAGCUAAGUAUAGUCUUUACGGAGAAAAGGGAAAGAACUCUUUAGUGAAAGUUAAGGGGUUAAGACAACUCAUUAAAGAUGCGGUAGCAGCUCACCCUAGGACUCCAAAUUAUCCAGACGAGGGCACAGUUGACGAGGAAAUUCAAAAAUCCCUUAAGAAAGUCGCAGAUAGAGUUGGGAAGCGUAUGAGGAAGUGACUUGACUUCGCGGCCAAUUUCACUACCCGGUUCAUCUGAUUAUUCAACUUAUAUUUAUUUUAAUAAAAAGUUAUUUAUAUUGCAUAAUAUUUAGAAGAAGUAAAAUAAACUAUAAACGGAAUUAUGUAA